GAUAAACGCUAGCGGCGUGCCUAAUGCAUGCAAGUCGAACGGUUUUUCGCAAGAAAAGCAGUGGCAAACGGCUGAGUAACGCGUGAGCAAUCUGUCCCUAAGUGGGGAAUAACACCGGGAAACCGGUGCUAAUACCGCAUGUGGUAGUGGAGGUAGGUUUUCACUACUAAAGCUUUCGGGCGCUUUGGGAGGGGCUUGCGUCCUAUCAGGUAGUUGGUGAGGUAACGGCCCACCAAGCCGAUGACGGGUAGCUGGUUUUAGAGGACGUCCAGCCAGACGGGGACUGAGACACGGCCCCGACUCCUACGGGAGGCAGCAGCAAGGAAUUUUGCGCAAUGGGCGAAAGCCUGACGCAGCAACGCCGCGUGAGGGAAGAAGGCCUUCGGGUUGUAAACCUCUUUUCCCAGGGAAGAAAAUAGACGGUACCUGGGGAAUAAGUCACGGCUAACUACGUG
rnacentral:rRNA from 1 species